GUCCAGACUCCUACGGGAGGCAGCAGUGGGGGAUAUUGGACAAUGGGGGAAACCCUGAUCCAGCGACGCCGCGUGAGUGAAGAAGUAUUUCGGUAUGUAAAGCUCUAUCAGCAGGGAAGAAAGAAAUGACGGUACCUGAGUAAGAAGCCCCGGCUAACUACGUGCCAGCAGCCGCGGUAAUACGUAGGGGGCAAGCGUUAUCCGGAAUUACUGGGUGUAAAGGGAGCGUAGACGGUUAAGCAAGUCUGGAGUGAAAGGCGGGGGCCCAACCCCCGGACUGCUCUGGAAACUGUACGGCUGGAGUGCAGGAGAGGUAAGUGGAAUUCCUAGUGUAGCGGUGAAAUGCGUAGAUAUUAGGAGGAACACCAGUGGCGAAGGCGGCUUACUGGACUGUAACUGACGUUGAGGCUCGAAAGCGUGGGGAGCAAACAGGAUUAGAUACCCUUGUA
rnacentral:rRNA from 1 species